rnacentral:rRNA from 1 species
UACGUAGGGGGCAAGCGUUGUCCGGAAUCAUUGGGCGUAAAGCGCGUGUAGGCGGCCCGGUAAGUCCGCUGUGAAAGUCGGGGGCUCAACCCUCGAAUGCCGGUGGAUACUGUCGGGCUAGAGUGCGGGAGAGGCGAGUGGAAUUCCUGGUGUAGCGGUGAAAUGCGUAGAUAUCAGGAGGAACACCGGCGGUGUAGACGGCUUGCUAGACCAUAACUGACGCUGAGGCACGAAAGCGUGGGUAGCAAACAGG